AGAGCUAAAGUUAAUCAAAACAAGUAUAUUGGUAAUCACCACAAAAGCAAGUAGGAGAUAUUAUAGCCGCUCUUUAGUAGAGAAAAUAACCAUUGUCCUGAAAUUUUAAAUAUCACAAGUGAAACUCGAGAACAUUGCCGGUAGACACUAUUUCUACACGUAAAACAUCCUCACUACUUUUGGACUUGCACACUUUUGGAGGGAUUCAUCGGCCUCAUGCUUUUUGAUGGAUUUUUGCAUGUUACGUUUCCAGUGUUGGUGCCUAAUCAUGAGAAGAAAUAUCAAAGUGAAUUACAGUGCCAAAUACAAACAUUAUUAUUCAAUAUAAAGAACAACAUGUGCUACUUAUAAUUAGUGCAUAAAACCAUAUUAGAUUUAGGUCUAGGCAAAAUUAAAGAACUUAUAAGAAAUUUAUGCAAAAAACAAAGGGGGAGCAAAAGUACAACUUCGAUACUAUGCAUUUUCACGAUAUACCUGCCAAAAUAAAAUCAGACAUAAUUGUUCCGGUGCAAAAUCAAUUAGCCUUACAGGUGUCACACACAGCAUUUUUCUUUAUCAUCAUUUUUUCGAUUUAUGGAGUAACACUUAAAAAUAAAGAGUUCCCAAUAAAGUUUAAUACCUUAUUCCCAUUUUCCCUAGUACACUUCCUCCAAAGUUAGGUAUCUCUCAU
rnacentral:lncRNA from 1 species